rnacentral:misc_RNA from 1 species
UAAUGAACUAAAUAUGUAUAUAGGCAAAUAACGUUUAGAUUUAGAUGUAAAUGUAAAUAUCUGAUGUCUAUUUAUGAAACGCUCACCAUUCUAUCCACCCAUUCUUAAAACGAUAUAAAUCCACCUAUAUGAGUGGAUGACCCUGGACCAUUUGUAGUGCCAGAGUGGUUUCUCGAAUUAGUCUUAAAUCAUCGAAUGAUAGAAGCGUCCUCCCAAUGCUGCUCAAAUUGACCUCAUUCUUCUUCGUUAACAUAAUCCUUGGUCUAUAGAAAUUGGUGGCAUAAUCAAAGGACAUUCAAAGUAAAGUGCCUCUAUAAUUGAAGCAUAACCA